rnacentral:lncRNA from 1 species
GGGGAUAUCAAUAAAUAAGCUUUCCUUCAUUUCAACGUAUUGUGUUAAAUACACCAAAGCCUUCUUCGCUAAGGUUCUUUGAAUUUUCUUUUGUUGAAGCUUGUAUGUUGAAGCUUUCUGAGUGGAGCAUGUAGGUUGGGGUAGUGUUCCCUUAAUUUCCCGAGUGAGGAAAACUUCUCGGUUGGAGACUUGGAAAAUCCAAGUCACUGAGUGGGAUCGGCUAUAUGAAUCUUAGAACGCCAUUGUGCUCGAUCCUGUGUCAUGUCCUUCGUUAGAUCCAAGUACUCUAAGUCUUUUCUUAGAGUCUCUUCCAAAGUUUUCCUAGGUCUUCCUCUACCCCUUCGGCCCUGAACCUCUGUCCCAUAGUCGCAUCUUCUAAUCGGAGCGUCAGUAGGCCUUCUUUGCACAUGUCCAAACCACCGUAACCGAUUUUCUCUCAUCUUUCCUUCAAUUUCGGCUACUCCUACUUUACCCCGGAUAUCCUCAUUCCUAAUCUUAUCCUUUCUCGUGUGCCCACACAUCCAACGAAGCAUCCUCAUCUCCGCUACACUCAUUUUGUGUACGUGUUGAUGUUUCACCGCCCAACAUUCUGUGCCAUACAGCAUCGCCGGCCUUAUUGCCGUCCUAUAAAAUUUUCCCUUGAGCUUCAGUGGCAUACGGCGAUCACACAACACGCCGGAUGCACUCUUCCACUUCAUCCAUCCAGCUUGUAUUCUAUGGUUGAGAUCUCCAUCUAAUUCUCCGUUCUUUUGCAAGAUAGAUCGUAGGUAACGAAAACGGUCGCUCUUUGGUAUUUCUUGAUCUCCGAUCCUCACCCCUAACUCGUUUUGGCCUCCAUUUGCACUGAACUUGCACUCCAUAUAUUCUGUCUUUGAUCGGCUUAGGCGAAGACCUUUAGAUUCCAACACUUCUCUCCAAAGGUUAAGCUUUGCAUUUACCCCUUCCUGAGUUUCAUCUAUCAACACUAUAUCGUCUGCGAAAAGCAUACACCAAGGAAUAUCAUCUUGAAUAUGUCUUGUUAACUCAUCCAUUACCAACGCAAAAAGGUAAGGACUUAAGGAUGAGCCUUGAUGUAAUCCUACAGUUAUGGGAAAGCUUUCGGUUUGUCCUUCAUGAGUUCUUACGGCAGUCUUUGCUCCUUCAUACAUAUCCUUUAUAGCUUGGAUAUAUGCUACUCGUACUCCUUUCUUCUCUAAAAUCCUCCAAAGAAUGUCUCUUGGGACCCUAUCAUACGCUUUUUCCAAAUCUAUAAAGACCAUGUGUAAAUCCUUUUUCCCAUCUCUAUAUCUUUCCAUCAAUCUUCGUAAGAGAUAGAUUGCCUCCAUGGUUGAGCGCCUUGGCAUGAACCCGAAUUGGUUGUCCGAAACCCGUGUCUCUUGCCUCAAUCUAUGCUCAAUGACUCUCUCCCAAAGCUUCAUUGUAUGACUCAUUAGCUUAAUACCCCUAUAGUUCAUGCAAUUUUGUACGUCGCCCUUAUUCUUGUAGAUAGGCACCAAAGUGCUCGUUCGCCACUCAUUUGGCAUCUUCUUCGUUUUCAAAAUCCUAUUGAAAAGGUCAGUGAGCCAUGUUAUACCUGUCUCUCCCAAAAGUUUCCACACUUCGAUUGGUAUAUUGUCUGGGCCUAUUGCUUUUUUAUGCUUCAUCUUCUUCAAAGCUACAACCACUUCUUCCUUCCGGAUUCGACGAUAAAAAGAGUAGUUUCUACACUCUUCUGAGUUACUCAACUCCCCUAAAGAAGCACUCAUUUCAUGUCCUUCAUUGAAAAGAUUAUGAAAAUAACCUCUCCAUCUGUCUUUAACCGCGUUCUCUGUAGCAAGAACCUUUCCAUCCUCAUCCUUGAUGCACCUCACUUGGUUUAGGUCCCUUGUCUUCUUUUCCCUUGCUCUAGAUAGUUUAUAGAUAUCCAACUCUCCUUCUUUGGUAUCUAGUCGUUUAUACAUAUCGUCGUAAGCCGCUAACUUAGCUUCUCUGACAGCUUUCUUCGCCUCUUGCUUCGCUUUUCUAUACCUUUCACCAUUUUCAUCGGUCCUCUCCUUGUAUAAGGCUUUACAACAUUCCUUCUUAGCCUUCACCUUUGUUUGUACCUCUUCAUUCCACCACCAAGAUUCCUUUUGGUGUGGGGCAAAGCCCUUGGACUCUCCUAAUACCUCUUUUGCUACUUUUCGGAAAAAAGGCUGUUGCUGGAAAUCAUAAUCAUCAAAAGUGGGAAACCGAGAAAAGGUGUUCUAUAUCGGUGAGAUUCAUUUCUGUACAAGUAUUUUACAAAGGAAAAGGGCGAAAAAGGUUAAAAAAGACAGUGCUCUUUCCUGAAACUUUACGAAUCAUCCACACAUUUGACACUUAAGGUGUGUUUGGAUAACAGACUUUAACAUCCCAUGGAAUAUAGGUAAAAUAUGUUAGGAAUGCAAAAUAAAAAUUUGAUAGAGGGAUUUUUUUUUCCCAAAAUUUGAUAGGAGGACUGGAAAAUGACUAGAUGCAAUACAUUUGAAAGUCCUUUAUUUAGUGUCUUUGUUGUAAUCAGUAGUGUUUUAGUAGUAGCUUUGUAGUGCUUGAGUAAUUCAUUGGUAGUGUUCUUGUAGUGCAUUUAUAACAACAAUUGGUAUAAAGUUCCUUGGUACUUCAAGUUUAAGGUCCCGCCAAACAGAGCAUUUGGAAAUUUCCAGCAGAAGAUUAUUAACAGGUGAAAGUUAAAUGUGACGACAAACACCAAUUUCAUAUUAUAAUAUGAAUCAAGUUACAACAAGAAUGGAGAACCUGAAAUAAGAAAUCUGCAUAAGCAUUGACAUUGCGCGUUAAAGUUUGCUUUCCACAGAACCUUCUGGACCUUCUUCCAUAGUUGUUAAAUCUCUGCAAAUAAACAGAUGCAUUCCCUGUCAGAAUUAAGAAACAGAAUAUAAGGUCUUAUGACUCAAAAGGAGAAAGAAUGGGGAUAAGGAGACAAAGAACGCAAAUGAACAAAAAAAUUUGACACGUCCUACAUAUCUAGUGCAGUAAAGAAAUGUACAGCAUCACAUUAGAUGGAAACAGAACUUUGAAUAAAUUCAUUUGGUUAACAUAGAAAAAAAAUUGAAAUGCAGAAACGUAGACAAAAUUAACAAAGCUACAACCUAAGGACGAUUACAUGGUCCUUCUUCGUGCCACAAACUGGCCACUUACUAGACAACGAGAAAAGAAAACAUAUGCUUGAAAUUGUUUUAACACUUUGAUAUAACCCUGUGCAGGCAUUAAUGACUUACUAAUCAAAGAAAAGGUAAGCAUUAUGGCAAAGACGACUAUUUAUUUAUUUUUCAGAGGAGUAUGGUUCCUAAAAUACUCUAAUGGUAUAACACAUACAUCACAUACAUAUGUAAUACAUUUGGUUCCAAAAAUUCCUGUUUUUUCCACAUAAUUGAGAAGAGUACGGGACACAGAAGUAAUUUUAGAAACUAUUACGCGAAUUUACUGACUGGGCAGAGGAUUGAGGCAUGUGUAUGCUCAGCCAGGGCUACAUAAAAAGGGGGGAGUGUUACAGUGUGCUGUUAACACUAUCCAUCUUUAAAGUAAUGUGUGUUCUCUCUUUAUAUUGCGGCAAAGAUAUAAGGACAGCUUUCAAUCUGUAACAUUUUCCAAUCAUUUGUUAAAACCUAAUGUCUAUGGACUCAUAUCCAAAUUCAAUAAUUUGCAAACAAGUUUGGAGAUACAUAUUUAGUGGAAAAAACCAGAAUCAGGGAUGAAAAUACAGCACAUAAUUGGUAUGGUUUAGAUACUCAUAAAAGAAUACUAUGCAAGGAAUAUUCCCAAAAUAUGGACUGAAUUUGAGUAGAGAAGAUGGAUGGUGAUAGAACAUAACAAUUUGAAUUGCCAUUGACUUAUCAAGAAAAGGUAGAAAUGCAACACACACAUAUGUCGAGAUGAUAAGGGUCAACUCCUUGAACCAACGUUCCUAUCAGUUCCGGAGAAAAUAUAUGACAUCUCAUUUCAAUUUCCAUACAUGAGUUCUUAUGCGUUUCUACAGCCCUUCAAGUGAUGAAUAGCAUCUCAUUGAACCUUACUAAAUUCUGAACAGCAUUUCAAAGGUCCCUUUGCAUUCAAGGUUAAAAUUCUCACAAUUUCCAAACAAUUAAAAGUGAGUACCCUGCAGGAUGCAAUAAGAGACAGUUGUGGCCUAGUUUAUCGUUCGAAAGCUUGAAUUUUUACUGCAAUGCACUGCCUAAUUGGUGAGGAAACUCAAAAUUCAAUCCAUCAACUUCAGCCCAGAAGUCCCAACUACGCAUUUUUUCAGACAACGAUAACAAAAUUCUUUCUUUUAUCAAAUCACCAGAACAAGAUGAAACAUAACCCACAAAAUUCCAUCGAUUUCUCACUUCCACUAAGUUUUCACAGCCAAACCAAGCACAGAAGCAAAAGGCAAACAUUAAGCGUAAGAAAAAAAAACCAAAAUUACCAAUUUUUCUGGAUUCUUAAUUAUCUUAUAUCAACACAUGGUGGGCAUCCCCAAUAACCCAAAAACAUAUACACUUAGCUGAUGAAUAUGUGUGUGUGUGUAUAUAUAUAUAUAUAGAGAGAGAGAGAGAACUACAGGUCCCGAGUAGGAUCGUCGCUUACGAUCCAAGACAGGGGUGGAAUGAAAGAGGGCGGCCCUCACAUAAAUGCAGUAGUUGGGACUGGAGUUUGUGAGAGCCGCUUUCAUGGCGGUGUUCAUUUUGCUUGAAUAUGACUGUCGCAGAAAGGCAGAGGCAGCUCACCAAAAAGGAAGAAGCAGAGGGGAAGCAUUUCAAUGUCUACCCAUCUUAUUGGGUUGGCAACGGGGCGGGGCUGGGCCUGGGCUGCCCCUCCUCCAUCCGAUUUUUCUUCGGGGCGUUUCUAGGCCCACGGGACCUAAACCCAUUAGGCUUCUACAGUUUCCAACGGGUGAUCGAAUCCGCUAUGAUGCCAUGUUACCAAUUAAGGAUGUAAAAAGAAGGAAAACUUAUUGCAAACUGUGAUUCUUAAUUAGUUUACAAAGAUAAGGUGUAUGUAUAAAGACCUGAAAGGUAUAAAUUGCCAAGAUUGCUACAUAACGGAAGGACUAAACUUGUCAAGACUUACCCUUCCACCUAGUUACAAUGUGUAUACAUAAAGACCUAACUCUACACAAACAUGUUACUUAGUACUACGGUCUGGUGAUAUUUCUUUUCACUUUGAAGUGAAAGGUCUUAGGUUCGAAUAUCGUGAAUGACAAAUUCGAUACCAAAUUAAUUUGUCAAUUGUGUAGCUUAGCCGAACUCAUCCUCCCCCUAGUGUAAAACUAUCGAUGUACUAAAAAAUAAAUUCUAAACAAACAGAAAAUAAUAAAAAAUCUAUUAUGUAAAAUAUCAAAAUUAUCAACUUAAAUUAUACCAAAUCGAGGAAUAUAAGAGGAGGUAUGAUGACGUUCUGAACUUGAGUUCAUGCAUGUAAUAGAGGGUCAGAGACCUAUUAUGUGUGUCCUUUUCGAGAUUGCGAACAAAAUUGUAUUGUUUUUAUGGGUGUGAAGAAGAGUAACUACCCUAUAAAUCAGGGAGUUUCUAUUGAAUUAUUGAGAUAAUUAUCCUUAAUUUUUGUGUUAUUAUGUCAUCAUUUAUGAAAUGACUUAUUCACUUUCUAAAUGUCGGUCAGCACGUCACUAUCCCAAUGUUCACGACAUUUGGAUCGAAGUUUAAAGGGAAGUUGGAUACUUCCAAUUUAUAUGUGGACCCAUGAAAUUUUCAAAAGUAAGUAGAAAAAUAAGAAUGAGGAUCAUUUUCGGAUCCUUUUUGUGAGGAUCUCGGAGAUUCUCCAAUCACAUCCGUUCAUCGUACAUCAUGUGAUCAAUUUCGUCAAGUACUGUUUAUAUUUAUUUUAAAUAAAAAGAUUUAUAAUGAUUUAUGAUCGCACGAUAUGCAAUGAACAUAUGUAAUUGGAGGAUUUUCAGAAUCCUCACAAAGAGAACGCGAAGAGGAUCCUCAAUAAAAAAAUAACGAAACAAAAUAAGUAGGGAAUGUAUGAAAAGAAAAUUUUCUAAAUAAAGAAAGCAUACCUUGUCCUAAUGAACUUGACCCAUGAAAUUCAUUUGUGCAUGGCAUAGUUUGAUGAGUAGGUGUCUAGGUGACCAUGCCCAAAAGAAGACUAUUAAAAAGAAAGUAGUUUCUUUAGCGUACAUGCGGGACCAAAGUAGCCAUGAUAGCCAACUCCAAAAGAUGUUCUUCACAUGGAUAAAGAUGUGCAAUUAGAUCCCAUUUCCAACUAAACAAUGCCUUUAUCAUACAUCACUAUACCAAAAAGUAUACCUCUUAACUCAUCAUAUGACAAUGGGGUAAUUCUCAGCUCUGGUGUUAAUUACCAAUUAACGAUACUAUCUUCUUGACCGUUAGAUCAUAAAUUUAUUUCACAAAGGCGAGAUAAAUAAUAAUGCUCAAAUAAAUUUGAACUCCAAAUUAUUACAUUGCUUCUUAUUUUGUUUACGAACUUAUUGUCACUCAAGUACUUCAUCGAACGCGUUGUUUCCUCUCCAUUUCUUAAGCAAACAUAGUCAAUAACUAAAUGAGGCAAUAUUUGUCAUUUCUUGCUCUUUGAUUACUCCACCCUUGUUCAUUUGACAAUAAAAUUUAGUAACAAAUUGUUAUUCGUUGUAUGUAACCACAAUUAACUAUUUACAUGUUGGUCAAAUGAUCAAUUAUUAUGAUGAUAACGUCGCGUUCUAUAUAAAAUUAAUUCUCUAACAUCCAUUGUGCUAACACCCUUUACAAUCCAUUCAAGAUACAUUGGAUUACUCAUAAAUUAUUAAAAGGAUUAAUUGGAUUAUAAAAUUUAAAAAGAAAACUAAAGAAUGUUUAGGAAAUUUUUAAAGGGAAAAAAAAGGGAGAACUUUUGUAGAAUGAUUUGGAUCCCAUUCAGAUUCAAAUUGUGAAAUCUUAAGGAUCCUCACAUCUUAAUCAUUUAUCGUGUAUCGUGUAGUCAAAAAUUAUUUUUUUAUAUUUAAAAUUAAACACAAAUAAUAUCUGACGAAAACUGAUUACAUAAUGUACGAUAAACAAAAAUCUCCACAAAAUAAAUCAAGAGGAGAUCCUCUUCCUUUGUAGAAGACUGGCUCAAAGAUGUGUAACCACGUUGUGAGCUCCGCCGGUAGUUACGCGUUUCACGUUUCCGUUAAGAGGGAGUCUUAUUACAUGUGUUUGAUCGACCGUUAGUUUAGCAGUUGACGAACUCCACGUUUCCGUUAAGCUAGGAGGAGCGAUAAGAUAGGCGAAACGAGCGAGCGUCCGUGGAAGCGGCCGUACGGGAAAACACCACGCGGACAUGACCUCCAAUCAGUUGGAAACUGAAUUGCUGAGUUGGCUAUUUGCUGUUUUCGCAAAACGCACCGUCCCAUGGAUGAUUACAGCCACCCAACCCCACAUACCUCCCACCCACUUGGAUAAAGCGAUUCAAGGGGCAUCCUAUUUGGCUGAAUAAAAUGUUCUCCUUUGCAUGACCAAUUUGCCCUCCUCUCCUUUAUAAUUUGACAACCAUACAAGUACAAGGGUAUUCCUGGAAACCAGGGUUGGUAGUGCCUAUUUGCCAUUUUUAUUAUUAUUAUUUUAUUUCUUUUUUCUCUAAAAAAAUGAUCAAAUGCAGCAGUUCAAUCUUUCAAGAACUGAAAAAACUAAUAGAUGCAUUUUAGACUACUCUAACAUUAUCGUGUGAUUCACCCAAUCGCCAGAAAUUGAACUCAGAGCAUGUCAUAUGGAAUACAAGCUUGAAAUUCAUUUCCAAUCAUUGACAAUAUAUUUCUUGUAUGAUCAACUAACUAUGCCAUACUUGUACUCUACAAAUUGUUACUACUAUACCUAUCCAAUGGUUGUUCAUAUUGAGAUAAUUAGCAACAUAAUUAAUGAUGUAAAGUUUGUUCUUUUUGUAAGUGCUCUUAUUUACUUUAUUAAAAUAUUGCAGAUGUUUUAUUGCUUUGGGCAUAGUGGCAUAACCAAAUAGACUAGAGCAGAUGUGAUCUUCUUAUGCAUAGAAAAAAGAUGUAUGAUAUUAAACAUAAAUCCUCUUCAAUCUAUCUUGCAAUUAAAGGAAGUGCUCGCCACUUAGGUGUCACACCUCAAAACAAAUAUUUACUAAUGAAGCUCCUACAAUAGUUUAACUCACAUAGACAUAAUUACAAUCAACAAGACAUAUAACAAUCGACAACAUAAUUCGGAAUAUCAUUUGAAAUUUGAAGGACAAAGUCAUGUUAAACGUUUUUGAGUAAAACUACAAUUACCAAAGCUAAGUCCUAAAAAAAAAAAAACUUAUCAAUAUGCUCUCUCUAUUCGAUUUGUUAGUGAUUCAAAUUUAAAAAGAAAUAAAUAAGUAACGAUUUUAGUAAUUAACUUGGGAAAGGGGGUUACGAAAUUAACCAUGAUUCCCGAUAUACCCUCGGUCACAAAACUAAAGGACAGGUGGGCCAUUAGCGGUAAUGGCAGGGGCACAUCCGUCCUCACAAUCACAAAGACCGAAAGCGAAGCCAGCUGUUUCCACCAUCAACGUGACUUGUCAUGGGGUCCGUUGAUCAGAUAUUCCCAGCCGACGGUCAGGAUCUGAAGAUGGCGAAUUUGGGGUUCAUUUAAGUUGAAUUUCAUUUGGGAGAGCUUCCUUUUUUAAAACAAGAGGGCGGGUACCUCAGCCAGUCUCUUAACAAAGAGAGAAAAGAAACUCACAACCCAAGUACUUUCUUCCAUUUCCAUUCCCAUUCAAAGGUACAACCUUUUUUCAUUUUCCCUUUGUUUUUUGCAUUGAUUUCGUUUUGUUUGAUGGAUUUUUAUCUGGGUUUUGCUUCAUUAUCGUUUCUUCGAGCGAUAUUCUAAUCUAAUUUAAACUACGAGAAUGGGGAUUCGAAGUUGAGUAUGGUUCUUGAAAAAUUUGAUGGGUUUUGCUUGAUCAUCUGAAAUAUUACCGGCAUUUGUGAUUUGGGAAGGCAUGUUAUGUGUUUGUAGUUUGGUCUCUGUGGUGGGUUUAGGUUCACAAACUUGGUUAGGCAUUGGAUUGAUGUUGCCUUUCAAUUUUUCGUGUUUCUGUGAUGGUCUGCACAACUUGAUUGCUUUUAUGGAAUAAAGGAAUGUGGCAACAAUGGUGCUGUUUAUGUCAUCGUUUGAUGCUGAUUUCGAUAUGUUGAUUUCCCAUCAUUUAUAAAUUGCCGGCAUUUGUAGAUGCAAAUGAAUCUGAUCUGAGGGAUGAACUAUUGUUUUGCAAUAAUUUGAUCCAAUUGCUUGGUUUCUUUCUGCAGAAAGAAAUAGAAAAUGGCAGAUUCCGAAGACAUCCAGCCCCUUGUUUGUGACAAUGGUACUGGAAUGGUCAAGGUACAUGUCCCGGAACACCAUUCUUUUGUGAUCCUGUGAUGGCUUUCUCUUUUAAAUUUAUGGAGGGCUUUUUUAAGUACUGAAUGUUUGAGCUGAUCUUGGUGAUGCAGGCAGGAUUUGCCGGAGAUGAUGCUCCAAGGGCUGUAUUUCCCAGCAUUGUAGGUCGCCCUCGUCACACUGGUGUGAUGGUUGGUAUGGGCCAAAAGGAUGCCUAUGUAGGGGAUGAGGCUCAAUCAAAGAGAGGUAUCUUGACCUUGAAAUAUCCAAUUGAGCACGGUAUUGUUAGCAAUUGGGAUGACAUGGAGAAGAUCUGGCAUCACACAUUCUACAAUGAGCUCCGUGUGGCUCCAGAAGAGCAUCCAGUCCUCCUGACAGAAGCACCCCUUAACCCCAAGGCCAAUCGUGAAAAAAUGACUCAAAUUAUGUUUGAGACAUUCAACACCCCGGCUAUGUACGUUGCAAUUCAGGCUGUCCUUUCCCUAUAUGCUAGUGGACGUACAACUGGUGAGCAAUUCAAUUGAGUAAUUGUUAUGCUUUCUCUGUAUGAUGCAUCAUGUAUUAUCAUCAUUAUCAGAAAUGUUUUGGAACCAAAAAUAGUUCCGUUGGAUCCCAUAGAAGAAGAAAUACAGGUGAAGUAAUCAAACAUUUUAUCUUUUUAUGCUUGCUUUAUAAAAGCGCGGACAACCAUAUGCACCUCAUUAUUAAAACAUGUCCUUAUAAUGAAAAAAAGAAUCAAAUGCAUGCUCAGAACAUGAGCUCUUCUACGUCAUGUGUUGCUCUCUGAUGGGCAACCCGUUCAAGCAGUCUAUCAAAUAUAUCAUCUAAUUUCCAUUUCCCUUAAUCUAUUGCACGAUUGCAUUCAUGGUUUUGCUUAGGGAACAAAAUGUCUCUGUGCCAAGGUUCAUUAUUUAUGCUUAGGAGUAAGUUAGUAACAGAUGAUAUUUGUGAAACUAGUGCUCUAGAAUUCUUGAAAGAAAAAACAAUGUUGGUUUUUAGAGUCUCAAAGAUAGUGGUAAAACUUGCAUUCUAAUGCGGUCAUGUAUGUUUUUCUGUUUAGGUAUUGUUCUCGACUCAGGAGAUGGUGUGAGCCACACAGUUCCAAUUUAUGAAGGGUAUGCCCUCCCACAUGCCAUCCUUCGUUUGGACCUGGCGGGUCGUGAUCUUACAGAUGCUCUCAUGAAAAUUUUGACUGAACGUGGUUACUCUUUCACCACUACUGCUGAGCGGGAAAUUGUGAGGGACAUGAAGGAGAAAUUGGCCUAUAUUGCUCUCGACUAUGAACAAGAGCUAGAGACAUCAAAGACCAGCUCAUCUGUGGAGAAGAGUUAUGAGCUACCUGAUGGGCAGGUAAUCACCAUUGGAGCUGAAAGAUUCCGCUGCCCUGAAGUCCUCUUCCAGCCAUCCAUGAUUGGAAUGGAAGCUGCUGGUAUCCAUGAAACGACAUACAACUCUAUUAUGAAGUGUGAUGUUGAUAUUAGGAAGGAUCUGUAUGGAAAUAUUGUCCUCAGUGGAGGCUCCACUAUGUUCCCUGGAAUUGCUGAUAGGAUGAGCAAGGAGAUUACAGCCUUGGCUCCAAGUAGCAUGAAGAUUAAGGUUGUAGCACCGCCGGAGAGGAAAUACAGUGUCUGGAUUGGAGGAUCCAUUUUGGCAUCCCUCAGCACCUUCCAACAGGUAAUUUGUCGUGUGUGUGUCUUUUCAACCGAAAACAGCUAAAACACAAUCCUUUUGUUCCUUUUCUUCUCUGUCAAAAUACUAAUAUGACAAUUCACGUGGUAACUUAACGUAUUUAUACUGAACGAUAUUUCGAUUUCUGAGUGUAGAUGUGGAUUGCAAAGGCAGAGUACGAUGAGUCUGGUCCCUCAAUUGUUCACAGGAAAUGCUUCUAAUCGCGCAAAGCAAGCAGCGGACAAAGAAUUUACACAUAACAGAUUUUGUAUUACAGAAAGGCUUCUUCUAUUUAAGUGGUUGCAGAAUUUCUUUUUCUAUUCAUUGUCGAAUUUCAUUCAUGUCGAUUUCUCUGUGUUUGUUAUGUUGGGACAUGAGCAUGGAGGCGAGCAAAUUAUGAUUACGAUUCAAUUUUUUCAUUACUACUGUUUUGUUGUAGAGAAAUUAUGUAUUGUUACUGAUUUGGUAUGGUUGAAAUCAAAAAUCCCCUUCACUACUCCUUUUGGUUUCUACUUUGUACCAUGAUUUGCGAAUACAGGAGUUGACACUGCAAGCUGACAGUGUCUGAGAAUUUUUGCUGUUAAGGCGCAAACAACAUAGGACAUAGGAGGUGUUUGGUUUAUUAAAAGUUCAGGUGGUAAAGCUAUGGUAAUCGAAUGGGGCAAGUGUGGUGAAAUGCAAUGGUCAUAAACCACUUUUUCAGUGACUAACGUAACAAAAUUGUCGUCAUGUUUGUAAGUAAUAUGAAUUCUUCGCCGACAUGAAAUUCUUUUGAUGAAGCCCACUCAUUGUAAUCAACUGCGCCACUAGAUUUUUUGACAAUUCAAUUUUAUUAUAACAAGGCCGAAAUCUCAAUUUUCUUGCGUUUUGUUGGCAAUUUUGCUACCACUUUUACCGAUGCCCACUGCUGCCGGCGUUCUCUCAAGCCAUGCCUCCCUCCGGGGUUCAGAAGAAGUAGAGAGAGAGAGAGAGAGAGCAGUGAAAAAAGUAAUGAACCAUGGAAGUGCAGGUAAUUCUUUAACUUUGAACGCUUGUUUAUUAGAAUUAAAUUUAGUGAUACAAGAUUAACAUCAGUAGAGAUUUGCUGGAAGAUUUGUAGAAUUGACAACUGCUUUUGCUUUUGCUUUAACUUUCAACUUCUUUCAUGUAUGAUGUUUUUUUUCAAUAAAUCUUUAGAUUACGGCGAAUUAUGUAAAAGAGAGAAAACAUUUUAAAAAUAUUGUAAGCGACAAUUACGGAAGCCAGAAUGGAAUUCAGGGCAUAAAAAGCUUCCAAAUUCUUAUUGGCUUUUGUUAAUCUUUGUUGCUGUCUUUAUGUCAUGGCCAAAGACAAGACUUGUUGACUUUUUGCCUGAUUUCGAGAGAAAGGUCAGUGCCUUGGUGUCACUGGCCGUGACAAGAGAGAUGGGACGAGGGGGGCAAUGACACCAGAUAACGAAGCACUUCUCCCAAUGGUGAGGCCUCGAAUUCAAGGUAGUGAUUGCCCCCUAUGUGAUGAGAGAUAGGAGGAGGGGGCCAGUGACGCCGGACAGAGAAAUAUGUAAUUUUUUCCAUUAGUGAGGUUCACGCCACCAACUUUGAGCCGCCAAAAGGUGGGUGACACUUUUAUGGUGGGAAUAGUUGAAUAACUAAUGAUGGUAGCCAACAAAGUAUACGAUAAAGAUGUCUUGACUUGCAACCCAAGUAAUCAUUCUUUCUGAUAAAGCAAACAAGAACAAAAGAGAUCACAACAAAUUGAAAAUAUUUCAAAAUAAUGGCUUUGCAUUGUAAAAGAAGAUAGCAUAAGAAUUCUGCAUUUCGGAAUUACACCACUGGUUUUCCAGCAACUUGAGGACCAAUAAGGUUUCAAGUCACUUCACUAGCUCCACAGUCUCAAAACACUAACAGUAACUUAUAAGGCGUAACAAGAACGGAUUUAUUAAAACGAAAUACAUUGCACAGCUUUUGGGUGUAUACAGACUCCAACUUAUGAACCCUGAAAAAAAUCUGAAGCUUUACCCAUAACCUUUGCCUAGGGUGCAUAGUUUUACGGAAAGAAAUGAGUUUAUAUAAGAAAAGUCAAAGGGAGCAAAGAAAAACACUAGAAGAAAACAACCCAAUGUUAGAAAAUUGUUUAAGGAGAAUAAAACUUACUGAAACCGGUUGCUUAAGACCAGGCUCAGCCAAUCAAGUUACUGGAUGUUAUACCAACUUCAAAUUUAUGUCAAUCCUUGAACAUGUUAAACCUUGACGGUCCAACAGUGUCAAUGAACCCUCUUACUGACAGCUCAGGCGCGGGUUGGUUCUUCCCCAGUAAAUCGUGAUCUAUAAAAAUGACAACAAUCGUAAUGUCAUCGUGAAAGAACCGCCUAACUCCCUUUUCAACCUUCUUAAGGUCAUCGUGUCUCAUCUCCCUUUUUCUAGCUGCCUCACUCAGAGCUGUUUUAAGAAGUCUUUUCGCAAUUCCCUGACAAUUUGUGAAAAAAAUAGAGAAGAAAGAACUAUUGGUAUCUAGAUAGUAACGGGGAAAAAGGACCAAAAAGGCAUUCGAAGAAAAAACAUACUGCUCGAGGAUUAUUGUGUACAAUCUCCACAGCUUCCUGAUUUGUCAUGUGCUCCCAUAGCCCAUCGGAUGCGAAUAUUACAAAUUUAUCAUUGGGCUGUAGAACUCUAGCACAUACAGAUGGUUCUGCUGUUAGCACAGGCCGGCCAAGAGGUUCAGGAAGGUGGAACCUUGGAAACGUGGGAUCAAGAGAAAAUUCUGGCCUCUUUAAGUAUGCAUCACCGAUAGAUCUGGAUACCUGAUAGCAAGCAAGGAAACACACAAAAGCAGAAAUAACUUGUCAAUGAUUAUCUCAACAGAGGACUUUAGAUUCCCAAAUUCCAGUGUGCAUAAUAAUUAAUUUUAAGCAAUUGGAGGGAGGGGGUAAAAAAUCUAGUCCUCAACAGUCUACAAGAUACAUGACUGAUGCAACAACCACUGAAAACUUGGAACCGAAAACAGGCGGGGAGAAGACCGUCAGAGUGUCAAAUUGACACAAAAAAUUUGCAAACCAUAACUGCAAAUGUAUGCAUUUGUGUUGGCCAACAUACAUACAUGCGCAGAUACUACAGCAAUCCUUAAGCAUCACAGACAUUUAUAGUAAGGUUAUUACAAAAGUCACAAAUCACAAAUGGGCUCAUUUCAAUAAAUUGGGCAUCCUUCCCAGAAAGAAGUUGAAAAGGUACAUCAAAUAUCUUCAGUUAAAGAGACGGAAAGUGAGUAAACCUGUAUGAUGCCUUUGAUACGCCAAACUCCCUGCUUCAUAACUACAAUAUGUGAAUCAUUUGGAUGCAAAGACCUGAGUUCUUGUCUAACCUCCUCCAUACUUGCAUUGUGCUCCCUAUUUAGCUGUUCGGCACCUAUCUUAUUCGAUCUACCUACAGAACCAAUGACUGCUCGGGAGUCUCCUAGAUUAGCAACAUACAAUGUCCCCCUCCAGAUAACUCCAACCAGACAACAAGACCCAAUUGCUGCCAUUAAUGGCUUUAUUCCACAUGUCCUACGCACAAGAGUAAGGAACCCAUCCUCAGUUGAAGAAAAGGCACUUCUAAGGGUAUCUUCAGAUAUGGUUCCCUUUUCUCGAGCAUGUCCUGUAACAAAAACACUUAAAUCAGUUGGAAUUCGAAAAAUCCAGAAGUACUUGCUGUAUGCAACAAUUGCAAUUGGAGGGUGAAGCCUAGAAUACAAAAAAUAAGCAGUAUUCCAACAGAAGCGCGGCAAUCAAAUAUAGCUAAAAGGCUCUCGUUACUGGGACACCAAAAAUAGUCUUCGACUCUGGAGUGGAAGAGGCAAUGCAUCAAAGAAACAAAAAAUUUCUUUGCAUACACCAGUAGAGAAAGAUAUAUUAAACCACAUUAAAGAAACAAAAUUUUCAAAUUUCAGAUUGAACAUUCAACUCUACUCCAACUACACAGAACAAAAUAGAUGAACAACAUAGCUCAACCUCCAAUGAGUCCAUUAAUGGAACGGAUUCUUUCUUCCGCCUUUUCUUUAAGAUAAAUAAAUUAAACUUCUGCAAAUAACAUCGCGAUGUAUAUUUCAGCACCAUCAAGGCAAACCCAACUGACAAGGUGAGUCUAGGAUACAGAGAAGGCCAAAAGAGAAAAAAAAAAAAAAAAGAAGAAAAAAUUUACCCAAAAGAGAAAAAACCAAGAUGCUGCUUGAAACCAAUUGACCAUCAAAUAUAACACACUUCACAUUCAAAAUCAAAAGAAGCAUAAAAAUAAAACAAGAUCACUCCUUUCUAAAACACACAAAUCCACAAAUCACAAACACUCCAUCAAAAACGCACACCUCCAACAAUCCCAACAAAAAAAGCACUCCCUACGCACGCAAAGUUGACUAGAGCAGUAUGCAUACAAGUUCAAAUCUCCGUAUUUAGAUUAAAUUAGAAUAUCGCUCGAAUGAAAACAAGAAAGACAACAAUCCCAAUAAAGAACAAAAAUCCAAAAACCAAGAUAUGGCUCACUCACUCAUGAGAUGAAGAAAGAGAUGGUCAUUAAUGAAGCGAGAAGCAUCAGGUCCACCAUGUCCGUCAUAAACACCGACGAAGGUGGCGUCACGGCCGGUCUCCACUUGGCUGUGAUCCUCAAUAACUUCAUUGGCCUGCACGACAGCGAAGGAGAAUUCUCCAUAGCUGUGCCUGUCGAGGCUUCUGCACCACAGCAAAGGGUCCUCCAACGACGAGUCCUCGACAUCAUCCUUGUUCAUACGGGCAUAUCUCCUCAAUGGCCUCCAACACGUACACGCUAUCCUUGCCAGCCACGAAAACAUCCCUCAUUUCCCAACAACAACCCCAACAACUGAUACUUUUCUCUGUAAUCCGACAACCCUUUCGUGGAUUUCUGGUGUUCUUUGAGAAAAUUAAAGAUUUGGGGUCGCUUGUUAAUAAAGUUUCAAAAUUUGGGAAGAUUUUGGAGGUUCGGAUUGGAAAUCCAAAAGGGGUUGUUGACAAAAGGUUCAAAGGGUCCGUGGGUUUUUUGAGUCUUCCUCUGUCCUUCUCCGUGUGUGUGUGUAGAGAGAGAGAGAGAGAGGGGUGUUGCAGGGUGGAAAAGGAAGGGGAAAGUUGACGAAAGCGUGUGAGAGGCACUCUAAUGUUUUUUCUUUUCUUUUUAGGAAUUUGCGCAAAUACCACCUUAGUUUUCAGGGUGUGGCAUUUGCCACCUAAAGAAUUUUUUUUGACAAUUACCCACCUAGACUUUAGCAUUGGUGUUAAUCUACCACCUCCUUUUAAUUCCGUCAAACUUGCAGUUAAAUUCAAGGGUAUGUUUAACUAAUCAAAACAAAGAAAUAAUAAACUAAUAAAAAUUUAGAAAAAAUAAAAAGUUGCGGAUGAAACAGAGACAGAGAGAGAGAUGAAGUAGGAGAAUGAGGCCAUAUGGGCUGCCAUGGAGGUUUAAGGGCAUAUGGAGUCAGCGGUUGCACUGCAUGGGAGGGGGAGCUAGUUAAGAGGAGCCGCAAUGGAGGGGUUAAAUAGGGUUGAAAAGUUUGAGCUUCGAGAAUCGGAUCAGGCGUUUAGGGUCGCAAAUUCUUCUAAAACGAAAAUCUGAGGGAGAUUGGACUAGAGAGAUUCCAGGGUGAAAGCCAAUUGCAAAGGUGGAGAAUAUUAAAAUUUGAAAAGUGAUACAUUGUUUGACAAAAUGUUAGCACCAAACUUAAAGUCUAAGUGGAUAAUUGACAAAACUGUCUCUCUCGGUGGCAAAUUUACACACCUUUGAAAAUUCAGGUGGUAUCUACACAAAUUUCCCAUUUUUGGGUUUUUUCGAUUGGUUUUUGUAAACUGACGUAAAUGCCAUUGGUGUAGUGAUUAAACUACAGGUAUGCCACUACACUGGGAUGAUAACCGGCCCGCGGAUCUGGCAAAACUUUGUUUUCAAAUUGUUUUCUUUCCUUUUUUUUAUUUUGUUAGAAAAAAUAUAUUUUUUUCGUGGGGUCUCACCUCUCACAUGAUUCAUCUCCCUAUCAACAAAUUGUCCUUUUUUAUUUGGUCAAAAUAUUAAAAAAACAAUUGUCUUUUUCUAAAUUUCUCUAAUUUCUUUUUGAAAUUAAAAAAUAAUAAUAAUUAAAAAUGAUUGAAGGCUUUUUAGUGAUGACGACUUCAUUUAGUAAUAUGAAUUUAAAAUGUGAUAGGGGCAUUGAGCGAUGUGAAGGGUGCAAUUAGAACCGCUCUUUACGCGCACUGUGAAAAUCAAAGUAUUCUAUAUGGAGUUAAGGCAGGUUACACCAGUAAAUUGAAGCAGUGUAAAGUCUUUUUAUACUUAAAUUUUAAUUAGAGUAGUUUAAAAUAUUCAAUUUCACUUUGUCAAUACAAAAGUUUUACAAGCCACUGGGGUUAGCCUAAUGGUGAGGGUGGAUAUUUUGAUGAUUAAGAAUAAGCUAGGUUCAGACUUUGAAUAAGUACUUGACAAAUUUUAAUUAUUAUAAAAAUUUAUAUCAAACUUGAAGAUGAAAUUGUUAAAACAUCAAAAGUUUUUACAACCCCAAUUUCUAUUCAUGAUCAACUCUUGCAUAGUAUGUACGCUAUUGUUCAUAAGUUCAUUUGGAAGUACUUUUAUAAUAGUUGAAAGCGCUUUUGAUGAAAAUGUUUUUGGAAUGAAUAUAUAAUAAAAAUGUAAGUGCUUUUGGAACUCAAAAUAUUUUUUUCUAAGAGCUCUUUCAGUCAUUCUAAAAGCACUUCUAAACGAUGUUAAAGAGAGCACAAUCGAUUAGCCACUAUAAAUUUCAAAAGUGCGAUUUUUUCUUUUCCUUACAAUAUUAUAAAUUGGGUGGAGCAGAUCGCAUGUUGACCUUAAACUUUAAUAAGGGGUUGUAUGAAGCUUCCUUUGAGCAUUGUAAAGUCUUCAGAUUCAUGCAAAUUGAAAUGUAUUAUAUCCCUCAUCAUGUGCAAUGUGGAAUGUGCAAUGCAAGUGCAAACCUUUUUCUUUUCUUUUUCUUUACAACUUUAUAAAAUUUAUGCAUCUAAUAAUAAUAAGCCAUACCACUUAUCUUCUCCAAUUAUAUCCAACUAUUUCAAACUAGUCACAAUUAUUUAUUUUUUUAACUUAAAUAUAUAUAAUUAUAUAUAUUAAUCUUUAAAGAAAGGGAUUUCUAUUUUUUUUUAAAUGGGGAUUAGUGAUGAGGUUCACACUACAUCGAACUUCAACGCUCUAAACCACUUAUUUUUCAAGUUGCACCUCAUAAAUCAUCUUUACAAAAUAUUGGCCAAAUCGGAAAUAUUUGAGGCAUCUAAUUGAGUUCAAAGAAAUUGACGAACACUAUGGUCUAAGAAACAUUGAAAUUUUAUCUUAACAAUCAAAUAGGCAAAUGAUUUUGGAUUAAAUUGAAUUUUUGUAAGGAUAAUCUAUAAAUCGAGACUUAUAAAAUAAACGGUUCAGAUAGUUAAAGUCGAUGUGGUUUAGCCCCUACAACUAAUCCCUAUUUUUUGAGAAAUAUGAAAUCUCUCUCUAGUUAAGGGGCUCACUCUACAUGGAAUUUCAACCAUCUGAAUCAUCUAUUUUGUAUUCACAGAUCAUCCUUGCAAAAAGUCAAUUCAAUCUGAAAUCAUUUGUCUAUUUAAUUACCAAGAUAAAAUUUCAUUGUUUCUUAUAUAACAAAGUAUUCAUUAAUUUUUUUGAAUCUAAAUUAGAUGUAUUAAAUAUUUUCGAUUUGGCUAAUAUUUUGUAAGGAUGAUCUAUGAGAUGCAACUUAAAAAAUAGACAGUUCGGAUCGUUAAAAUUCGAUGUGUUGGACUCCACAACUAAUCCCUAUUUAAAAAAAAAUUAUGAAAAUCCCUUCCCAACUUCCUCUAUAUAUAUAUUUGAGUACACUUUUUUGGACAAAUAUAUUCGAUCAUAUCAGAUGAUGAUAUGAGAUCCAACCCUAGAGAACACGUGUGAGUGAUGUGGGUAGGUGUAACCAUGAAAUGUAAAGUUAAUCAAAAAACCCUUUUUUUAUGAACGGAGGAAAUGCAGCAGAGGUAGGAGGGAGGGACGGCAUCGGCAUGUUGCUUUCCAAGAAACUAAAAAAAAUUAAAGGGUCUGAAAACACAUGCCGCAUGUGAGCAACCGUGGCUUUUGCCUUUCUGUCACAGCAUUCGCUGUUCAGGUUGCCUGUUGCCUCUCCAUCUCUCUCUCUCUCUCUGUCUAACAUAAUCUAGAAAGAUGAUGAAUCCCCAUUACAACACAGGGAGGCAUUCAUGGGAUGGAUGAUGGUACAGUUGCAAAUUAAAAGAUGAUGCUGUUGCCACGGAUGGGAUCAGAUUUGACUCCAUCAAUCCCAUCAGACGGUUGGGCUGUCUCCUUGUGGCCAAUGUCUCAUGUCCAAGUGCUGUUUUUUUAUUUGGCCAACAAAUUGGGUUGGAAACUCCAUUUUUGCUUUAUAGAGGAGGUGGAGAAUUUUACUAGUAGGGUUGGACACAGUUCGGAUUGAGUAUUGGCUUUAUUGGAAAUUAUUUGGGUCGGCUAGUUGUUUGGGUUGAAACAAGACUGAUCCAAUUGUGUCAGGAAACUAAAACCACAUACCAAACGAGUAAAAUUUGUGAAGCAUAUUUUAUGUGUGUCGAUAUGAAUUGUGAUUUUUUUAUAUGGAUCCAUUUGAUUCGUUUGAUUUGUGCUCGCGCUGGAUGAUGAAAAAUUAUCAUGUUCGGUUCUUUCGAGAGAUGGAUCUAGAAUAAUUCAUCUAUCCUAAUAACAAAAAACAACCGGAAAUGUUUAAAAAAAAGUAGGAUUUUAAAUAACACAUUCUGAAAAUGGACGAUUAGAUUAAUAGCUCCGACUGAUAAUCUAACAACAAAAGCACUUAUGACUCCUUAUACAUAAAUAAUAAAUUAGAAAAAGAAUAAAGAAUACAAAUUGGAUGCAAAAAUUUGGGGUUUCAACAUAGAAAUUUCUGCAAUUUGAAGUAAGAGAGUGUUUGUGUGUUGAGCUAGACAAUGUCAUUGAUCAAACGCUUGUGCCUAUUGUAAUGCUUUUCCAUGAAAACCUUUGAAGCUCCUUCAAUGGUCCUUCUCCAUGUCUGCACAAUAACAUCAUCACAACACAGAAAACUAGUAACAUCAAUAUAAGUUGACUUUUCAUUUCCACUUGUAAUAAACAAUGUAUUAAAAAUAUUCACAAAUCUUUAUCAACCGUGUAUUAACUACUCAAAAAACGACCAAAGUUACUAUUUUACUCAAAUUAUAACACGUAGAUUUAUUUUUGUAUUGAUAUACUCUAGAAGUAGAACAUAUCAACUAUGAGUCUAUUCUAAUUAUAACACGUGAAAAAAAAUACUCCCGUGACUUGUGUUUCAGUACCAAUACAAAUUUAUCUUGUCAAUCAAUGAAAAUUAACACUAAGUUUACCCUCUCAGUACCAAUAAAAUUUGGUUAGCUGGUAGAUUGGACCAAGCUAGUGACAGCUUUACCAACAGGUCCAAAACGCUGCAACACAGGGUUGCUGCAACCCUAAACCCUAGUGAACAAGCUACAGAUGAUGGGGUUGGGGGAUAUUGGACCCUCCUCUACUAUUGCUGUCUAUAUGCCUCAGAUCACAAAAGAACUGGUGCAGUAAUUUUUCGGGUUUUGGGUUUACGAUUUAGGAUAAAAGGACUAAUGACGUAUUAGUUUUUCACAAGCGAUAUUGGAGAAAGGACAAUCAAUGCAGGACUUCAAAAUCUCUUAUGUAGUUGUGAGUGAGUGUGCUCCAAGGACAGGGCCAGAAUUUUUCAGUUGGGUGGGCUACCUAAUUCGUUACUAGGUUUAGUUUGGGUGGGCUACAAGGUUUAAUUUGAGUCACGACCCAUAAUAGUUUUGUAUGUCGUUAUGCUCUUUAUAAUUAUGAUUCUUAUUUACUUAAGUUACAAGUCUCGACAAUAUUUUGUUGUUGUUAAUGUUUGAUUUUUUUUUUUAUAAAAGUUUUGGACUAUUUUGAGCAUUCAGUUCAACAGAUUAAAUAGAUAAUUAUAAACUGAUACCUUAGAAAGCAUUUAACUUUACAUUUGAGAUCCCAAGUUCGAAACCCUUUCUCCUCUAUAGAUUGCAUCUCGACAUAUUUUAUAGAAAUAAACAUUUGAUGUAAUGUAUCAAUAAAAAAUAAAAAGAAUCUAACCUUGUGAAUUGAACGGAAGAGGGACUUGUUCCUGAUAUCCCUCGCCCUGAGGUGUGAACCCCUGCCGCCAUGAAUCCCAAUUUUCCUAAACAAGGCCUUGUUUUUAGUCCCAGCAGGAAGCAGAGACCUCCUCUCCACCAAUCCAGUAGUCUUCCCAUUCGACGGACUCUCACACUGAUGAUCCCCUUCCCCGUUCACCCGGCUUCUUUUCCGGCGCUUCGACACCCUCACCACCAUCCGUUUGCUCGCCGGAGCAUCGGCCUCGUCCCCAGAAUCGGCAAAUUUCCUCAGCAGCUCGUCUGAAGACUUCUUGGUCACAUGUUGGACACUAGCACAAGUAGUAGGAGUUGCAGUAGUGAGAGAUUCCAUUGUAAAUUUGUAAAAUUGUAAAAUUAGAGAGAGAAAGAGAGAGAGAGAGAGAGAGAGCAUGCAAAAUUGCAAUGUGGAUUAUAAUGCAUGUUUUUGGGUUGGAGUAAUCUGGUGAUUAAUAAUGUACGUACACUGUAUGUGUGAGAAAAUGGAAAUGGACCGUUGGAGUUAGUGAAUUAUUAUUAUUUGAAUAACUGGGGGAGUGAGGGGAAUAUAGCCGUUAUAAGAGACAAAGAGGAGCCUGGAGGUGCAGUCUAUGUAUGUUAUUAUCUGAUGAGAUAUAUAUGGCAGAUUCACUGCCCUUCCACUUUCCGUGCGCUCUUAUUUGUGUGAUUACAGUUAAGUCACGUCAAUAUUUUAUAUUACUAUUUAUUUUUAUCUUAUUAUAUUUAUAAAAAAAAUAAUAUAAAAUGUUGACGUGGCUUAACCGUGACCACACAAAACAGGAGGCAGAUUCUCUGCCCUCCCACUUCCCGUGCCCUCCUGUUUUGUGUGGUCACGGUUAAACCACGUCAACAUUUAUAUUAUUUUUUUUAUAAAGAUAAUAAGACAAAAAUGAAUAGUAAUAUAAAAUAUUAACGUGACUUAGGGCAGAGAAUCUGCCUCCAUAUUUCCUUGACAAAAAUUCCACAUUCAAUCCUGACAUGCAUUUGCAGUGUUGGUUGCAGAUGCGGAUGAUGUGGUGACGACAAAGUUGGAUCUGGUUCUGGGUUUUGGACAAGCAGCGGUAAUAAUCUGGGUUUGGUGAGAAAUUAGGCCACAACCUGUCGUUUUGAUCGAUCUGUUUUGAGUCUAAACAGAUUUUAAUCCAAUUUUUGCACCACUCUCAUCCCCUAGAACGAACUUGUUCAACCUCAUGGAUCACAAAAUUAUAAUUUUUCAGACAAAAUUCCCUUCUCUUUUUAAGGGAUGGUAGUUGACUCUGCAUGUAAGGAAUCGUUCCUCUUUAGAUGACGGUGUGUCAUUAUUUUAUUGUACAAAUCUUGUAGUACAAACCAAUUUUCUUUAUCCUUAUCUAAAGAUCGUCUCUAGCAAAAUAUAUUGAAUUUGAAAAUUGUUUAACCAUCCAUGUGUCGAACAAAUCAACUUUCGUUUAGGUUAACAAAAAACAUCCUCGUGAUUAGCCAUCACCUGGUUUGAUUCAUAUAACGAUGGUUUGAUUCAUAUAACUAAGGGAGGUUUGUGAUGAUUUUGAAAAUCUUUUACACUAGGUAAUUUAGUAUCUAUAUGCAUGAAGAUAAUCAAUUCCGUCGUUGUGGUAUGACUCUAUAAUUGAUUUUUGACCACAUUCUCCACAAGGCCUUCUUAUCUUUUCCUUCUCCAAGCUCAAGAUUAUGGAAGAAGGAAUUGGGAUCAAAAUAACAACUGUUUCUAAACCAAAUGAAAUUUUCUAGAGAUGAUUUGCAAACGAUGAUAAAGAGAAUGAACUGUUUAAAUUAUGACGUUUGUACAGUGAAAUCAUUUGCACAAUGAAGAUAGAGAAGUAACUAAAGAAAUCUAAUGCCUGAAUAAUAUUUAACACCAUCAAAAAUUGUAUCAGUUGAUAAAAUUUACAUCCCAUGUUUGAAACUUGAAAGCCUACUUGAAAAUAAAUACCAUAAAGAUUACACCAAAAGCCAUUUGUAGAACACAUAAGAUAUUCAACAAGCAAAUGUUACAAUAAGAAACAAAUCCACUCUGGCUCCGCAGAUUCCAUCCAUUCGGAUUUCUUUUCAAUGGAUCUCCACAAACGCUGUUAGAGGAUGUCUUCGGAAGUCUAAAAAUUCGAAUUUUAACUGAGAAAAUUUCAGUAAGCAUCCUAAUGUUGGUUUCGGGACAUGCAUUUCCAUAUGUUCAAGAAAUUCCGUACAUGACAACAUUUCGACAACACAUCAAUAGUAUAGACUUCUUUCAAGCAAGUUGGAUGAGUUAAAAAUCCAUAAACGAGUUUUGAGUCAUCAGCGCUUCUAUGACAUUACUCCCAGAUGUUUCAACUAAAAUCAAUUAGCAUGUCGUGCCAUAAAGCAUCGUAAUUUCGCCUUCUUUCAGAGUUUGUAUAACUUGAUCUUACAGGAAGAGCCGUCUUUCUAAUCUAAACUGAAAGUUUAAUAAAAUACUUCUACAUCUCAACAUUGACCGGAGGCAAAUUACGAAGAAGUCAGAACCGUAAUUGAUGAACUUCGUACCUUGUUAUGAGCUGAAUUGAGUCCCAAAACUGAGUGUAUGGCAUUCAAGAUUCCCCAAGUUUAACUGUAUAAUUGGGAAACACCGACAUAAGCAUGAAUGUGAGAAAUUAUCCAACAGAUAGACACGAAAACUCGUCUAACAUCAUGAUGACAUCAAAAUUUAUUCCUCGAGAAGUUUUCAGCAUGCUCAAAUAUCAAACAGCUUACCACAACAGCAAUUCCCGUCUCACAGAAUUUAGGAAUGCUAAUGAGUCUCACCAUCUGCCCUUCAGAUCCUGCAAUUGCAAGUUUGUAGACCAUUCAAGUGAUGAACAUAAAAAAUUAAAAAAAAAUUCCAUUUUUGGCAUGAAAAAUAUUUUUAUUAAAUGAUGACUGAAGUUACAAGAAAAUACCAUUUACUAAGCGACUAUCAUAUUUAUCCUGAUUACCAACAAAGUAAACGUGAGGACAACUCUCGAUCAGGAAUGGAUCCCUGUCCGUGAAAGGAUAACACCCUGAAACACGACGAUAACAGGAGAAACUCAAACAAAAACUCAUGGGAAGAUCAAAAUUAUAAAAGAUUGUCCUAAUUAUUUUCAUUGUUUAUUCUCAAAUUGGAGACGAAUUACAGCCAAGCUGAAAAUUUCCAAACCAGACAACCACUUUAACAUAGCAAAUUGAUUUGGAUGACCAACAAAACUAUACAAGCAAAAGAUAUAAUUCAUACCAAGGGUAUUAGGUGCUGUUGGUGCCAGAUGCCUCCACCUCAAUGUCCUUUCAAUAAAAUCAAGUUUAUCCUUCGCUUCUGAAUACUUAUCAAGAUCAUCUAUAUUUUGCCCCGAUGUUCCAAGAAACCUGAAAACCACAAUACGAGUAAGUCAAAAUAAUUACCCCACAAGUAAUGCCAAAACAGAAAUUUUGAUCAACAAUGCCAAAGUCAAAUUAGAUCUACAAUUUUAUUUUACCUGACAUCGUCAAGAUCAAAGCAAUGAGGAUUGGUACAUGAUCUAAACGUGUUAUAAGCCGAUGACCCAGGGAAAAGGCAUCUGUUCAAAGGCUGAAAGGAAAAGCAUAUCAGCAAAAAACAAACCUGCUGGGCAUGGAAAAGUUGAUGUAUGUAUACUUUCCAGGACAUAGAUCAAACCUGCUGUGGCAAGGCAAAAUUAGCAGGGUCAUCGAGACCAGGCAUGAUAUCCAAAGGCAAACCUGCAGCAAUCUAGAACAAGUAGAUUAAAGCAGUGUGGUUCAUGAUAGGAGCACAGAUGAGGUAUAUUGAUUAAUUAAAUGACUAAACAAACCUGAGUCAACAAGAUAUCCAACUCCUUAAUUGGCUCAGACAACCUUGAUUGGUCCUUUAACGCUAAAUUCUAGCAACAAUGAACAAAACAACUAUUAAAAAGAAAACUACUAAGUUUUGCUUGUAGCAAAUAAACCUAUCAGGCAUCUCAAUUAAAAAUUUAAGAAACUAAACUACAAAAGGUUUAGGGUUUCCAUUUUAUUAUUUCAAUGGAGAUUAAAAAACUUCAAAACUAUAUUCUUUCACAUUGCCCUCUCCACCUACAGUUUACCUACAGUUUAUAAGAAAUCAUUAAAGUUAAACAAUUAUAUUCAUCCUUAUUAUCAGAAAGAUCUAAAUGGUUUACCUGUCCAUUAAGAAGUCCAUGAGGAACCUCAAUAGAAUUUCCAGCAAUUACAACAUGAACUAUUUGUGCUGCAAUACCUUGUUCCUAUUCAAUGUUAUACAAAGUUAGCAUGUUAAGACACUUCCAUAUAUAAUGCACAACACACAAUAAUGAAGGAUAAGACGGCACGAACCUUCUCAUCUCCUAAAUGUCCAGUUAUAUGAUCAACAAGAAGCUGAAACUGCAGAGGGUUUAAAGAGCUGCUUCCAACACGAAGUCCAGAUACAAAAACAACAUAUUUGCCUUCUCCUGUGUCAAACAAAUUAAAAUUAGUAUAAAAUGGUUGAGGUAAAGGUAAUAGUGGAAGAACAAGAAUACUAGAGGAAAUGAGAAACUAAAUACAAGACAAACAUUGUAUAAAAAAUAGAAAUACAAACAGUAACUUCCUUUUUCCUUUUUACUUGUAAUGAAAAUGGCAUUGUAACUUCCUAGAACUGAGAAAACUUGAAGAAAGUUCAAAGGGGACUAAAAGCCAAGACUCUCCACUUAACAAGCAAAGGUUUUAAGUUGCACUUUCUGUGAAUUUAGCUCCUCCUUAAACAUAUUUUUUUAUAGAGAAUAUUGUCGAACAUACUUUUGCAUAAAUUCGACUUUAUUUCAAAUGUACAUUUCUCACCUAUAUUAUAAUUCUAGCAUUACUCUCUUUCAAUCUCUACAUCAGUUUGUAGUAUUCAACUUGCAUGAAUUGGUUUUGAUUCCAAAAGUUAUUAGACCCUUCUAUAAUAAUAUUAAACUAUAAGGUGAAAGUCUAAAGAAACAAAUGGCCAAGCACAAACAUUUCUGCAAUGAAGAAAAUUUGCAAAGUGAAAAGAGAGGGAGAAAAUUCAGAUUAUACUUGAUUUCAGUGGCAAUUCUAUCUGGGGUGGUAAGCCAGCUUCAAGGACAUCUAGGACUAAGAAGUCACCGGCAUCAGUCUCCUUUCCAUGUAAACCAACAACAGUCCCUAUCAACACGUUAAUGUAGAAUGAGCCAUGAUGCAGGAGCCAAGUCGGAAAUUAGAGUAUUUCUAGUUUCUUAUGCAGUUUACACAUGCUGUUCAUUGACUUUGAGUCCCUGUAUGUUACAAAAAUAAUGCAUUAAGUGUCAUAUAUUAGUCUUUAGAAUUUCUAACUAUGUGGACCCUUCCAUAUUCAUGUACCAAUUAGCCUAUAAAACUGGCUAACUUUCAAAAAAGGAAUGGAUACACCAUUGGUGGGAGUGACUCCAAUACAGCUUUGGUUUGAUGCUGAAGGCCAGAGUGACUCCGGAUAUCUUCUAUGUUCCUAGCUAUUCCUAUUGUCCUACAUUACCAUGCUUCAAAUAUAUUGAUUCAUAGUAGAAUGUUAAACAAUUUGGACUCUUCCCGACCAUAAUCAAAACAGUUCAAAUAACUAUUUUUCUUUGUUGUAGUAUCUUUUUACACGGACCUGUUACAUACACAGUAGGUGAAAGCACAUUCCCGGAAAGAUUAACUCUUCCACUUUCAUCUUCCAAAAUCAGAUUGUCAUCUGGGUGCACAAAAUUAUGAGGCUUGACAAGUGGUGUCACAGAUCUCUGUAAAAUUUACAGUAUUAUAAACAAGUAAAGUAGAAAAUCUCAGAACUUAGUAAUUAACAUUGCACAAGUACACUACCGUCUUAGAGUACUCAUCAAGAACACAAGGCUUGAGUUUCAUGUGCUUGUAGAGGGUUCCAACAAUGAUGCAUUCCUUGUCCCUUUCCAAUCCCAAAACUGUGCGAACUACAACACCAUACAGAACACCCUAUAUUUCAGAUUGCCAUUUUAACAGAAACACAAAACACUGAUACUUCACACUUAACAUCAAUGAAAAAAAAAUCCCAAUAAGUAGCCAAAAGAAAAUCCUGCCUUCAUUCUAACCAAAUGACACGUACGAAAAGUUGACCCCCAUUCUUCCUAUCAAAAUUAUAACUUUCUGCAAACCCCUAUUUCAGUAAGAAGAGAUUUUGAUAUGCAGAUAUCAUAAAAAAAAAUUAAAAAAAAUAAAAAAAAGAAGAAAAUAACAUGACAAUCAAUGCAAAAGAUUGAAACAACAACAACAACAACAACAACAAAGCCUUUUCCCACUAAGUGGGGUCGGCUAUAUGAAUCCUAGAACGCCAUUGCGCUCGGUUUUGUGUCAUGUCCUCCGUUAGAACCAAGUACUCUAAGUCUUUUCUUAGAGUCUCUUCCAAAGUUUUCCUAGGUCUUCCUCUACCCCUUUGGCCCUGAACCUCUGUCCCGUAGUCACAUCUUCGAACCGGAGCGUCAGUAGGCCUUCUUUGCACAUGUCCAAAUCACCGGAACCGAUUUUCUCUCAUCUUUCCUUCAAUUUCGGCCACUCCUACUUUACCUCGAAUAUCCUCAUUUCCAAUCUUAUCAUUUCUUGUGUGCUCACACAUCCCACGAAGCAUCCUCGUCUCCGCCACACCCAUUUUGUGUACGUGUUGAUGCUUCACCGCCCAACAUUCUGUGCCAUACAACAUCGCUGGCCUUAUUGCCGUCCUAUAAAUUUUCCCUUGAGCUUCAGUGGCCUACGACGGUCACACAACCCGCCGGAUGCACUCUUACACUUCAUCUAUCCAACUUCUAUUCUAUGGUUGAGAUCUCUCUCUAAUUCUCCGUUCUCUUGCACGAUAUAUCCUAGGUAGCGAAAACGGUCGCUUUUUGUGAUCUUCGCUAGAUUGCUUCGAUCAUUAGUGUGGAUAAGUAUAUAAAUGGAUAUAGAUAGGAAAGCAAACACAAGAUGUACGUGGUUCACCCAGAUUGGCUACGUCCACGGAAUAGAGGAGUUCUCAUUAAUUGUGAAGGGUUUACACAAGUACAUAGGUUCAAGCUUUCCUUUAGUGAGUACAGGUGAAUGAUUUAGUACAAAUGACAUUAGGAAAUAUUGUGGGAGAAUGAUCUCGUAAUCACGAAACUUCUAAGUAUCGGAAUGUGGUAUCGUCUUGACUUGCCUUAUCUGUCUCAUAGGUAGAUGUGGCAUCUUCUCUGGAAGUACUCUUCCUCCAUCCAGGGGUGGUAUCUUUAACUGGUGGAGAUGCACAAGGUAAUGUAUCAAUUUCACUUGAAGCUUACUUGUAGUUUCAGGCUUGGUCAAGCGCGAUACAAACCAUGUAGUAGGAGUCCCUCAAGUUACCGAGCUAGGGGAUUUGCUGAAAGAGGUGACAGACAAGGUAAGCAAUCAGAGCUCCGGCUGAUUGUUCACAUUCUCCCUAUCUUGCAGGCAGCAUGAAGGAUAAAGAGAAGAAAAAUGAGAAGAGAUGAUAUGGGAUACUUUUGCUUUUGAAGAAGUAACUUUCCACAGACUUAUUCUUGAACUGAGCUGGAGGGUUUUCUGGUUUCCUCCAGAGUAUAAGGCCGACUGAAGAAUUUGAGGGUCAAAACAAGUCCAUCAAAUCUAGAGUACGUUCGACCCUACUGAUAUGGGAUACUUUUGCUUUGACAGAGUAAUGGAUGUAUCGGCACGUGUGCUGUUACGCUUGUCUCCACAUGCUUCCUUGUAUCCUUCUCACUUGCCCUAUCUGUUCCUCAGGCAGAUGCGGUAUCUUCCCUGGAAGCAUAAGAUGUUGAAGAUGAGUACUCGAGAGCAAUGCCAGGUAAGUAAGUUCCAGGCAGUCAGUUCCUGGCUGGAAGCUUGAUUCCAAGUGCUGACUGAUUGCUCUCUUUCUCCUUGUCUUGCAGGUAAGAACAAGGCCAAAGGAAAAGACAGGGAAAAAGCAUGAUAUGGGAUACUCUUGCUUUUAACCCUGAUGAUAUGAGAUAUUCUUGCUCUAGUAUAACUUGUUUGCAGAGGUAUUAUCGGGGGGAAAGAAAGCUGAAUAUUUCGAAAGGCUUCGUUGAGAGUGCCCUCUCAUAUAUGAGGAAGGGUUGAGCAUUUUUGCAGGUCUGUCUGUCCGUUGGGGAUGGAGGUUGACAUAUAUAGGAGUCUCCUUAACAACAAGUAGUAAUGCUAUUCCUUUACCCUGUCAGAGCACUUUGAAAAAGUGGUCUGUGGUAUGUGGAAAGCUGAUGUUGCGUGUGAAGAUUACAGACAGCUUUAUCCAAGGAGAUCCGGCUCUUGUAGUUGGGAAAGUGUUGCCUCUUCGGUUUUCAAACAAGCAAUCCUAUCAGGGAUCUGGCUCUCGAGAUUCGGAGAACGAUGUCUCUUCGAUUUUUGAGAAAGUAAUCAUGUUGGGAGUCUGGCUCUCGAGAUUCGGAGGGCGGUGCCUCUUCGAUUUUGGAGCAAGCAAUCUUGUUGGGAGUGUUUUCUCGAAUGUGAGUAAAGGUUGGGCAUGUUUGCUAGUCUACCUUGCCACGAAGCACAGAGGUUGACACACAGGGACUUUCCAAUUAUCCAGCAAUGGUACUGUUUCUUUACCCUCUCUUCGAUUUUUGAGAAAGUAGUCAUGUUGGGAGUCUGGCUCUCGAGAUUCGGAGGACGGUGCCUCUUCGAUUUUGGAGCAAGCAAUCUUGUUGGGAGUGUUUUCUCGAAUGUGAGUAAAGGUUGGGCAUGUUUGCUAGUCUACCUUGCCACGAAGCACAGAGGUUGACACACAAAGACUUUCCAAUUAUCCAGCAGUGAUACUGUUCCUUUACCCUUGUGGGUAAUAAUAUGGGGUAGCUAGACCUUCAAAAUUUAUGUGUCUAAACUUUGUUAGUGCUGUUUCUUUGCUAUUCUUUUACCCGUCUUGGUCAGAGCGAUGUAGUGGAAGCUGCAAGCUUCACGUGCUCAACUUUGGCAGAGAACUUUGGCAAAGUUAUCUGUGAUACACAUGAACUACUAUUGCGUGUGGGAAGUGGGUGAUUGAACAGUAAGACUCAUGUGCUUUCUACUUCACCAGAAGUCUUCGACAGAAUGCCCAUAAUUUCCGCAAAGCUGAGUGUGCGUGUGACAGGUGCUGCCAAGGCUGGAAAAGUAGGUGCCUCUUCGAUUUCUGAGAUCGGCCCUCGUGGUCUCUGAGCAGCCCAACUUUUGAGAAAGCAAGCGCCUCUUCGAUUUCUGAGAUCGGCCUUCGUGGUCUUUGAGCAGCCCAACUUUUGAGAAAGCAGAUGCCUCUUCGAUUUCUGAGAUCGACCCUCGUGGUCUCUGAGCAGCCCAGCUUUUGAGAAAGCAAACGCCUCUUCGAUUUCUGAAGCUCCGUCGAGUGCAGAUUUUUAUAGGGGCUGGCAUUAAGUUCCAAAGCACACUUGAAUCUCCACCAGUAGAAGCUCCAUUCUUACACUUCUAAGAUCUUGAUUUGUUCGACCUCUUCUCUCUUCAACACCUUUGAAAAUGUCUGGCCCCUCCGACCGUCGUUUUGACUUGAACCUUGUUGAAGAGGCAGCCCCGCCUUCUCCAGACAACAUAUGGCGCCCAUCCUUCGUCUCCCCUACUGGUCCUCUUACCGUUGGGGAUUCCGUUAUGAAGAAUGAUAUGACCGCUGCGGUGGUGGCCAGGAACCUUCUCACUCCCAAAGAUAACAGACUACUUUCCAAACGAUCUGAUGAGUUAGCUGUUAAGGAUUCUCUGGCUCUCAGUGUUCAGUGUGCAGGUUCUGUGUCUAAUAUGGCCCAACGCCUAUUUGCUCGAACCCGCCAAGUUGAAUCAUUGGCGGCUGAAGUGAUGAGUCUCAAACAGGAGAUUAGAGGGCUCAAGCAUGAGAAUAAACAGUUGCACCGUCUCGCACAUGACUAUGCUACAAACAUGAAGAGGAAGCUGGACCAGAUGAAGGAAUCUGAUGGUCAGGUUUUACUUGAUCAUCAGAGAUUUGUGGGUUUGUUCCAAAGGCAUUUAUUGCCUUCGUCUUCUGGGGCUGUACCGCGUAAUGAAGCUCCAAAUGAUCAACCUCUGAUGCCUCCUCCUUCUAGGGUUCUGUCCAGUACUGAGGCUCCGAAUGAUCCCCAUCCGGUGCCUUCUCUUUCUAGGGCUCUACCGACUGCUGCGACUUCUCCUAAGCAACCUUUGUGAAGGCUCUCUCUUGUUUGUUUAUUUUGACUCAUGUAUAUGUACAUAUUUGUAGCUUAUCGGGGAUAUAAUAAAUAAGUUUUCCUUCAUUUCAACGUAUUGUGUUAAAUACACCAAAGCCUUCUUCGCUAAGUUCUUUGAAUUUUCUUUUGUUGGAGCUUUGUGAGUGGAGCAUGUAGGUUGAGGUAGUGUUCCCUUAAUUUCCUAAGUGAGGAAAACUUCUCGGUUGGAGACUUGGAAAAUCCAAGUCACUGAGUGGGAUCGGCUACAUGAAUCUUAGAACGCCAUUGUGCUCGGUUCUGUGUCAUGUCCUUCGUUAGAUCCAAGUACUCUAAGUCUUUUCUUAGAGUCUCUUCCAAAGUUUUCCUAGGUCUUCCUCUACCCCUUCGUUAGAUCCAAGUACUUUAAAUUAAUUUAUACAAAGCCGAUUAUCUUCCACAGGUGGCCAAUUCAAAGACAAAUUUACAGGCAACGUGCCAUGAACUCCGUCGAGAACGCCAUUUAACAAGAAAACCGAAAUCUAAAAUUUAGAAUAAAUACAAAAAAUUGAGAACCUGGCAAAUGGGGUUUCCAGUUAGGGACAAGGGAAUAGAGGAGCGUCCUCAUCAUAUGUAGACGGACGAAGUAUAUUUGGCUGUACUGUUGACCCCUGUACAUUUCCUUCUGAAUCUCAAACCUCUCGUCCUACAAUUAAGUUAAUUAACACAUAAUCUCAAAGAAAAUAAAAACCCAAUAACCAAAAUUUGAAAUUAAGAAGUAAUUUCAUGAUAGUUGCUCUGAAAAUGUCAGUUGUGGCUCGUAAUUUGGGAACGGUUGCUGAGAAACCCUAGAAAAAGAACUGAAAUUUCGGAUUGAGCAAGAAAAAAUUUAUACUUUCUCGGCAAACAAACAAGUUGAUGUAAGAAGUAAAAUUUCUUGACAGAGAGAGAGAGAGAGAGUAUAGACCAGCAAGGUGUAGGCGGAAUGCUUUCUGUGGAGGUUCUUCUCCGAAUCGAUUUCCAUGGCUUCCAUGGCGGGAAAAUAAGAAAGAGCAGCAGAGAAUUUCACCUGCCAAAGCUAAGUAGGGCAAACUAAACACUGUUUAUUCUCGAUAAAUGUGCAA